rnacentral:rRNA from 1 species
UACGGGGGGAGCAAGCGUUGUUCGGAUUCACUGGGCGUAAAGGGCGCGUAGGCGGCCACCGCAAGUCGACUGUGAAAUCUCCGGGCUUAACUCGGAAAGGUCGGCCGAUACUGCGGGGCUAGAGUGCAGAAGGGGCAACUGGAAUUCUCGGUGUAGCGGUGAAAUGCGUAGAUAUCGAGAGGAACACCUGCGGCGAAGGCGGGUUGCUGGGCUGACACUGACGCUGAUUGUGCGAAAGCUAGGGGAGCAAACGGG